UUAGUUUUUUCACAUUUGAUAAUGAUUGUAGGUCAAAUUCAUUAGCACUUUAGUUCUAUUUUUGUGUUAAAAAUGGUUGGGUAUUCAUGUGUUGUUUUUUGAGAGAGACUUGAGCUAAGUUUGAAACAAAUGGUUUUGUUUGACUCACACACUUUUUUGGGAACUUUUGCUCUUACUACUUAUUAUUUACUAUUUUUAAUCAAACUAUAUCAUUUU
rnacentral:lncRNA from 1 species